AAACUAAAGGGAGUGUUUUGAAAACAUUCUGUAAGGGUUUCCUUGUAGUUUU
rnacentral:tRNA from 1 species